rnacentral:lncRNA from 7 species
AUGCUUCAGUUGAAGCUGUGAUUUGGAAACACUCACAAAUCCCAACAAAGCCAUCUCAUUCCUUGAGUGCCUCCCUGGAAAGGCCUGCUUAUCAGUAUUGAAAGAAUGAAUUAUUUCUAAUGAAGAAGAACGUAUUUUAAUCCCUGUCAGAUUUGAGGAAUUUCUAGGCAGGCUACUUUUAUUGUUUCCUUUCCAAGAGUUUGUCUCAGUACUGCCAUAAACUGCAAUAGAAAUAUCAUUUUAUAAAUGAAUCUGAAGGUUAUUGCACAGGCCUAUUGAACGUACCCAGGAUCAAUUUGUGUGUGAGCUAGCACCUGGAAGUCUAUGAAGAAAUUCAGAAAGGUUCCAGGAACUGCUCAUCUGUGCUACAGACGCAUGCUGCUCAACCUUCAGUGUGUCAUGCUGCUCUUCAGAAUGACUUCCAGUGCAGAACUGAUGUUCUGACGACUACAGUCAUGGUCUGCUGCUGCUGCAGUAGGUCUACUCUUGCUAAACUGAAGAAGACUGUGUCUGCUGGGUCAUCAAAGAUGGAUGUUACAGUGCUGCCUACACAUGCUAACUCCAGCUGACAAGGAGGGAAAAAAGGGAGCUUCAUUGAGUUACUACAGCUUUGAUCCUCUGUAGAAGAAAGGAGAUGCUCUGCAGUUGAGUAGUGAUGUAUCUACUGGGAGUGAGAAAUGGCAUCUUCUUUCCUUUUCAUCUAUUUCCUUAUGCAUAUCAAAUAAUCUACUUCUGCUGCCCACACUUGAAUAGGCUCUCCAUGAGCUGUCAUCUCUAACAGUAUUGUAUACCUCAAAUCUCCUGAGGAGAGAAAUUUUGUGAGAAGCUUUCAGAGAGUAAAUGGUUUCCACCAGCACCUGAACCCCUUCCUCCCAAUGCAGGAGGAGGCUGGGACAAAUAGAUAGUCUGAAGGUGGUGUGGUGACUGUGGCUGGAGUAGGUCCCUGCUCUCUUGCUUUCCCUACUCCCCUCAGAAAGGAAUCUGGACUAUCUCUCAUCCCCUGCCUGGAAAGUCAGUGGAGGUUUUAACCUGGGGAAGUAUGUGUAUUUUGUUUGCCUGUGCAGUUAAGGCAUAUCACAGAGUCAGAGAUCAUCAGGCUCCAACCCCUGUGCCACUGG